CGGGGUGCAGCAGGCGCGAAAACUNUGCAAUACACGAAAGUGUGACAGGGUCAUCCCGAGUGCCGACCGCUGAGGUUGGCUUUUACCCAGUCUAGAAAGCUGGGGGAAUAAGGAGAGGGCAAGUCUGGUGUCAGCCGCCGCGGUAAUACCAGCUCUCCGAGUGGUGUGGACGUUUAUUGGGCCUAAAGCAUCCGUAGCUGGCUGAACAAGUCCCCUGUUAAACCCACCGAUUUAAUCGUUGGUCUGCGGGGGAUACUGCUCGGCUAGGGGACGAGAGAGGCAGACGGUAUUCCCGGGGUAGGGGUGAAAUCCUAUAAUCCCGAGAAGACCACCAGUGGCGAAGGCUGUCUGCUAGAACGCGCCCGACGGUGAGGGAUGAAAGCUGGGGGAGCGAACCGGAUUAGAUACCCGGGUAGUCCCAGCUGUAGACGGUGCAGACUAGGUGUUUGGACGGCCACGUGCCGUUCUAGUGCCGCAGGGAAGCUGUUAAGUCUGCCGCCUGGGGAGUACGAUCGCAAGAUUGAAACUUAAAGGAAUUGGCGGGGGAGCACAAGGGCGAAUUCGC
rnacentral:rRNA from 1 species